GACGAACGCUGGCGGCGUGCUUAACACAUGCAAGUCGAACGGAAAGACCCUGCUUUUGUGGGGUGCUCGAUUGGCGAACGGGUGAGUAACACGUGAGUAACCUGCCCUUGACUUUGGGAUAACUUCAGGAAACUGGGGCUAAUACCGGAUAGGAGCUCCUGCUGCAUGGUGGGGGUUGGAAAGUUUCGGCGGUUGGGGAUGGACUCGCGGCUUAUCAGCUUGUUGGUGGGGUAGUGGCUUACCAAGGCUUUGACGGGUAGCCGGCCUGAGAGGGUGACCGGCCACAUGGGGACUGAGAUACGGCCCAGACUCCUACGGGAGGCAGCAGUGGGGAAUAUUGCACAAUGGGCGGAAGCCUGAUGCAGCAACGCCGCGUGCGGGAUGACGGCCUUCGGGUUGUAAACCGCUUUCGCCUGUGACGAAGCGUGAGUGACGGUAAUGGGUAAAGAAGCACCGGCUAACUACGUG
rnacentral:rRNA from 1 species